CUGUGGAUUCCAGGGCAUUUUCUUCUGAGUAGGUGUUGCACAGCAGAUUGCUGUGGGAGCCUGGACGGAGAAGACUGCUUUGGAUUUGGAGGGUGUUCCUAAGCAGACACAUGGCAAUGAUUGUGGUGUCUUCAAGAUAAUGGUACGGAAGGAAGUUUGCCCAUUUUACAGAAGAAGGAAAGGCAACCCUUCGUGACAAUGUACCACCGGUAUUCAGGAUCACACGAAAAAGAAAACACGAAAGCAGCACCAUGGUCAGUGAAGACUUGACACAGUAUCCAUCACUCCUGCCUGUUUGAAAAUAGGUCACCACUCAAACAGAGUCCACAGGACACCGACCCUGCCACCGACCACAUUUACAGUAAGAGGCGUUACAGCAUUCCACCCAGAGAGCAGGUUAAUGACAAUAAUGACAGCAUGGACCAACAUGAUGUGGUCACCACAAC